rnacentral:rRNA from 1 species
GACGAACGCUGGCGGCGUGCCUAAUACAUGCAAGUCGAACGAGUGGCGGACGGGUGCGUAACACGUGGUAACCUACCCAUCAGAGGGGGAUAACCCUUGGAAACAGGCGCUAAUACUGCAUACUGAUGUAUGGACUCGCGGUGCAUUAGCUAGUCGGUGGGGUAAAGGCCCACCUAGGCGACGAUCUCUAGCUGGUCUGAGAGGAUGAUCAGCCACACUGGGACUGAGACACGGCCCAGACUCCUACGGGAGGCAGCAGUGGGGAAUAUUGCACAAUGGGCGCAAGCCUGAUGCAGCCAUGCCGCGUGUAUGAAGAAGGCCUUAGGGUUGUAAAGUACUUUCAGCGGGGAGGCGUUACCCGCAGAAGAAGCACCGGCUAACUCCGUGCCAGCAGCCGCGGUAAUAC